rnacentral:misc_RNA from 1 species
GUUGGUGGCAUCAUUACUGUUGACAAGAAUAUAUUGUUCAAGAGAAGCCAAUAUGGACUUCUCAUCUGCAAGCCUGUCAUCAUAUAAAGAACUUGCAUGUAAAAUCAACAAAACUGCAGAUUGACAAGUUGAUAAUGAUGGAUUUUGGGAGGACUUCUGUCCAAGCAGAAAUAACAGAUCAAUAGGGUCAGUUGGAAGAUUUGGAGCAGCAUCUCUAAUGGGUUCUCCAGUAUCAUUUCCCAGAAGAACAUCCA